UAUUUCUCCGUACGGGGAAGGAUGAGAAGCUUCGAUUAAGGUUCGAUUCGAGCGCAGCGAGAAAGCGUUGCCGCAGGCAACGACCCGAAGGGUGAGGAGCGGAGCGACGAAUAAUCCUUCCCCCACCACCA
rnacentral:sRNA from 1 species